GCGGUACCGGUUCCCGCCGAAGGGCGACCCGGCGACC
rnacentral:ncRNA from 1 species